rnacentral:misc_RNA from 1 species
AUAACUGUUCCGUAGGUGAACCUGCGGAAGGAUCAUUACUGAGAACAUGCCCUUUAGGGUAUCCUCCCACCCUUUGUUUACAAAUACCUUUGUUGCUUUGGCGGGCCCGUCGUAUGACCACUGGCUUUAGCUGGUCUGUGCCUGCCAGAGGACCCAAAACUCUUGUAUUAUGAUGUCUGAGUACCAUAUAAUAUUUAAAACUUUCAACAACGGAUCUCUUGGUUCUGGCAUCGAUGAAGAACGCAGCGAAAUGCGAUAAGUAAUGUGAAUUGCAGAAUUCAGUGAAUCAUCGAAUCUUUGAACGCACAUUGCACCCUCUGGUAUUCCAGGGGGUAUGCCUGUUCGAGCGUCAUUGCAACCCUCAAGCGCUGCUUGGUAUUGGAUGCACCACUUGGUGCGUCUCAAAAAUAUUAGCAGUGGCAUUCAGCUUCUAGUGUAGUAGUUUUCUCGCUUAGGAGUCUUGAGUGGUCUGGCUGCU